GCCAGGUGAGUGCACACUGCGACACUAUGAUGAGGCCAGGUGAGCGCACACUGGGACACUAUGAUGAGGCCAGGUGAGUGCACACUGGGGCACUAUGAUGAGGCCAGGUGAGCGCACACUGGGACACUAUGAUGAGGCCAGGUGAGCGCACAGUGGGACACUAUGAUGAGGCCAGGUGAGCGCACACUGGGACACUAUGAUGAGGCCGGGUGAGCACACACUGGGACACUUUGAUGAGGCCAGGUGAGUGCAUACUGGGACCCUAUGAUGAGGCCAGGUGAGUGCACACUGGGACACUAUGAUGAGGCUAGGUGAGCGGACACUGGGACACUAUGAUGAGGCUAGGUGAGCGCACACUGAGGCACUAUGAUGAGGCCGGGUGAGCGCACACUGGGGCACUAUGAUGAUGCCGGGUGAGCGCACAGUGGGACACUAUGAUGAGGCUAGGUGAGUGCACACUGGGACACUAUGAUGAGGCCAGGUGAGUGCACACUGUGGCACUAUGAUGAGGCUAGUUGAGUUCACACUGGGGCAUUAUGAUGAAGCUAGGUGAGCGCACACUGUGACAGUAAGAUGAGGCCAGGUGAGCGCACACUGGGACAGUAAGAUGAGGCCAGGUGAGCGCACACUGGGACACUAUGAUGAGGCUAGGUGAGUGCACCCUGGGGCACUAUGAUGAGGCCGGGUGAGUGCACACUGCGACACUAUGGUGAG
rnacentral:lncRNA from 1 species